UCUUCCGUAGUAUAGUGGUCAGUAUGUGAGCUUGUCAAUUCCUCGACUCCACCAGUCAGAAUAACAACGCUCGAGACCCGGGUUCAAUUCCCGGCGGGAGAG
rfam:Podospora anserina genomic DNA, chromosome 6.